UAAAGCGUGCGCAGGCGGUUAUAUAAGACAGAUGUGAAAUCCCCGGGCUCAACCUGGGAACUGCAUUUGUGACUGUAUAGCUAGAGUACGGUAGAGGGGGAUGGAAUUCCGCGUGUAGCAGUGAAAUGCGUAGAUAUGCGGAGGAACACCGAUGGCGAAGGCAAUCCCCUGGACCUGUACUGACGCUCAUGCACGAAAGCGUGGGGAGCAAACAGGAUUAGAUACCCUGU
rnacentral:rRNA from 1 species